rfam:Lutibacter sp. LPB0138, complete genome.
AUAAAUAAUCAAGGUCGAGAACCUUAAAAUUUUAA